GUUGCGAACGGGUGAGUAACGCGUAGGUAACCUGCCUGGUAGCGGGGGAUAACUAUUGGAAACGAUAGCUAAUACCGCAUAAAAUGGAUUAUCGCAUGAUAAUCCAUUGAAAGGUGCAAAUGCAUCACUACCAGAUGGAUCUGCGUUGUAUUAGCUAGUUGGUGGGGUAACAGCUCACCAAGGCGACGAUACAUAGCCGACCUGAGAGGGUGAUCGGCCACACUGGGACUGAGACACGGCCCAGACUCCUACGGGAGGCAGCAGUAGGGAAUCUUCGGCAAUGGACGGAAGUCUGACCGAGCAACGCCGCGUGAGUGAAGAAGGUUUUCGGAUCGUAAAGCUCUGUUGUAAGAGAAGAACGAGUGUGAGAGUGGAAAGUUCACACUGUGACGGUAUCUUACCAGAAGGGGACGGCUAACUACGUGCCAGCAGCCGCGGUAAUACGUAGGUCCCGAGCGUUGUCCGGAUUUAUUGGGCGUAAAGCGAGCGCAGGCGGUUAGAUAAGUCUGAAGUUAAAGGCUGUGGCUUAACCAUAGUACGCUUUGGAAACUGUUUAACUUGAGUGCAAGAGGGGAGAGUGGAAUUCCAUGUGUAGCGGUGAAAUGCGUAGAUAUAUGGAGGAACACCGGUGGCGAAAGCGGCUCUCUGGCUU
rnacentral:rRNA from 1 species